UCUUCAUCGACAUCGCUUUAUCAAUUUGCUGUCGGUGAGCAACCAAGGAACGAAUGGAUACCUGAUCUAUCAUGAAGAGGUGAAUGGAGAAGGAUGCUGCGGGUUCUGUAUGCGGACAUGUUCACGUCAAUCAAGUGUUGAAAUCGCAGCUUACACUUUAGAAACAGGCGAUGUGAAGACUUUUCCGCAGCGGAAUCAGCAAUAACAGAAUAUACAACAACAAUAGUCGGUCCUCAUAAUCAGCAUCCUCGUAAUUAAUCACAAUACAACGUUUCUUCACCACUUACUCGCCUGCAAAGCGCAUCCCCAGCAGGGAGGCCGAUUCCCUCCACGAAGCUCGGCAGGCAUGGCUGAAUCACUACUCGAGCCUGACGCGCCUGGCACUGGCCCACCUGCAGUCCUCAGGAAGCAGACAAUAUAAACACCGGUAAACUAUCAUUUGCUUCCACGUUGCCCUUCGCCUGGCCCAUUUUCUUCUCUUUCUGUUCCGUCGAAAGGUUUUGGCUACAAUGAAUAGGCUCGACUAAAUCCCCUAGUCAAAUCACUCAUAUCUGGAGUUAUCAGGCCUGAGAGGAAACCGUCCACUUCGUCAUUGCUCUGACACGGUGGUUAGAGGGACAAUGAGGACAUCUCAUUGCGAGAACGAACCCCUUACUGCCAGGGCAAUGGGGUGUGGCGAUCUCAUGCUGUAAACCUUUCUGUCUUGCACAGGUGUGUAGAGAAAAUGCAAACACUUUUUAAAAUCGAUGAAACUCUUGCACAAAAAGACCCAUUCACGAGUAACAUGAACAAGUGCGAACAAGUAAACACCGCAAAUGCACACGCGCGCAAACACAUAUAUGUGCAGACGCAUGCGCGCUUGCGCUGUUACCUAUAAACGAGUCGCUGGCCAUUGUUCGAAAAAAUUGAAGGUAAAUACCGCCAUUCGGUCUACACUCCAGCUUGUGCCGACGUUUUCGAGAUCAAGAACUUUAGUGACAUACUAUAUCCAUCCAUUCUUUUACAUGCAUUCUCUCUUUCGCUUGCUCACACACACACACGAAAAACACACACACAGACUCGAGAAUCGUAUCCUAAGAUGACAACAUUAUUUUGACUUCAUAGGAUUUUGA